rnacentral:lncRNA from 1 species
ACCUGAUCUUGCCUCACAGAAGACAUCAGGCAAACAUUCCCCGGAUGUGAUGUCUCUCGAAACACUGGAGAACACGUGUGAGCCAGAGGACCUCUUUGAUGACAUCUAACUAUUUGUUGACUGAGAAACUGAGAGAAUAGAGCUCCUACUAGACACAAGCUCUAAAACUUAGAAGGCUUAGUUGUAGACACUAAGAUGAAGUCUUUACUGUAAGGUUGUAUUUGACAUGUGUGCAUUCUUCACUCCACAGUUGCAGACCCUUGACCUGCUGAGGCUUAAUUUGUGACAGCCUUGAAAUCAGUUCAGCUGGUCAGCCUCUGUGUAGAUCUUUUAUCAUCUGUAUAUUGGAAAAGAGAGCAUCACCACAGCAUUUUUACAUCCUAACAAUCUUUGGUUGCUGGUCAUAUUCAGGAUCAACUGGUUUCCAGAUGUCACCAGAGAAUAAGUCAGACAUGAAGAAGACUUAAAUCUACCACUGUACUUACCUUGUAUACUACCGCUUUCUUGUGAGAAGCUCAGCUUAGAUGCAGUCUAGCUAAAUCAUCUUCAACUUUGAUUGGGAUGUCUUCAAAAACUGAGUUUAAAAUGGUAUCAUCUGAAAUGAAACAUCCAAAGAAAUGUCAUUUUGCUUGUUACUUGAAGAUUCUCCGAGGCAUUAUGCAUUGUUUAUAGAAUCAAGCCAAGAACUGAGCAGAAAAUGAUGUGAUGGUGGACAUACCCUGGACUGUGUGAGCACAGGAUUGCAUCAGACACCUGAUGCUGUCUGAUCUUGAAUUUUCUGCUAAUCCGAGAGGUUGGUCAGAAGGAGUAACAAUAACCAGAAACUGCCGUUUACCAGAAUUCUCAGAUCUUGUCAGACAGCUAUAGCAUCAUGAAUGUCAUCUGAGGUGAACUCACAUUCCCAGAUAGCAAGCACUUGUAAUGAGCUAUCUUUGAUCAUCUGUGUAAAAGUCUUGGUCUUAAAGCACUGUGAAAACCCACUGCUGUUUGAUCCAGUGUGAAACUGAAAGACAUUUUGCAAAACAGACAAUAUGGGACAAUAUGAAUAAGACACCAAAGUGUCAGCGCAGAUAUGGUAAACAUCAUUUCUACAGGUAUUCACAAUGGUUAGAGCAAUCCUGUAAAACAAAUAUGUUCAAAAGUAACUUAUAGUUUCAUUUGUAGCAUUCCUUAUGCAAAAUAUCCUGAAAGGGCAUGAUUUGGAAGCUUUGGAUGAGUGAUAGACUUAGAAGAUUGGAACCUUUUCAGUAGGCCUCAGGUAAGAUGCUGAAGACACUCAAAAUCACAGAUUACCUUUGAAUUCCUUGGCUUGACCUUGACUGUGUCAGAACGAAAGCUAACACAAAAGUAAUUAUUAAUUUGUGUGCAAGAAUUGGUGCUCAGUGAAUGUAAAUAAACAUUAUCUUUCUACAGGUCA